UACGAAGGGGGCUAGCGUUGCUCGGAAUCACUGGGCGUAAAGCGCACGUAGGCGGAUCUUUAAGUCAGGGGUGAAAUCCUGGAGCUCAACUCCAGAACUGCCUUUGAUACUGGGGAUCUCGAGUCCGGGAGAGGUGAGUGGAACUCCGAGUGUAGAGGUGAAAUUCGUAGAUAUUCGGAAGAACACCAGUGGCGAAGGCGGCUCACUGGCCCGGUACUGACGCUGAGGUGCGAAAGCGUGGGGAGCGAACAGG
rnacentral:rRNA from 1 species